rnacentral:rRNA from 1 species
CACGUAGGGUGCGAGCGUUGUCCGGAAUUAUUGGGCGUAAAGAGCUCGUAGGCGGUGUGUCGCGUCGGCCGUGAAAACCUGCAGCUUAACUGUGGGCUUGCGGUCGAUACGGGCAUCACUGGAGUUCGGCAGGGGAGACUGGAAUUCCUGGUGUAGCGGUGAAAUGCGCAGAUAUCAGGAGGAACACCGGUGGCGAAGGCGGCAUUCUGGACCGACAUUGACGCUGAGGAGCGAAAGCCAGGGGAGCAAACGGG